rnacentral:rRNA from 1 species
GAUGAACGCUGGCGGCGUGCCUAAUACAUGCAAGUCGAGCGAACGGACGAGAAGCUUGCUUCUCUGAUGUUAGCGGCGGACGGGUGAGUAACACGUGGAUAACCUACCUAUAAGACUGGGAUAACUUCGGGAAACCGGAGCUAAUACCGGAUAAUAUUUUGAACCGCAUGGUUCAAAAGUGAAAGACGGUCUUGCUGUCACUUAUAGAUGGAUCCGCGCUGCAUUAGCUAGUUGGUAAGGUAACGGCUUACCAAGGCAACGAUGCAUAGCCGACCUGAGAGGGAGGUCGGCCACACUGGAACUGAGACACGGUCCAGACUCCUACGGGAGGCAGCAGUAGGGAAUCUGCCGCAAUGGGCGAAAGCCUGACGGAGCAUCGCCGCGUGAGUGAUGAAGGUUUUCGGAUCGUAAAACUCUGUUAUCAGGGAAGAACAUAUGUGUAAGUAACUGUGCACAGCUUGACGGUACCUAAUCAGAAAGCCACGGCUAACUACGUG